UAUGGUGACUUUAGCAAUGGUGUCCACCUCUUCCCAUUCCGAACAGAGAAGUUAAGCCCGAUUGCGCAGAUGGUACUGCAGUUAUGUGGGAGAGUAUGUCGUUGCCCUAA
rnacentral:rRNA from 1 species